UCAACGUUGCCAUUUAAGAGAUUUUCUAACUCAAGAAUCAUGUUGAAGAUUGUAGCGGUUGGCUCAGAUGGAAUUGCCGGAACAUCACAGUCAGACUGGUUAGAACAAGGUUCGACACCUCAAGAUCCUCUCAUCAAUAUCAGCUGCAUCCCAUUCCGAAGGAAGAACGAUUCUGUAGACUAUGUUUUGUCCUGGAGUGCUGCUGCAGCAUAUCUGUGUACGUAUUCGAUUAGUUGGAUGCCAACGGUACCUUCGCCUUUAGAUAUACCUGCAAGUUAUGAUCAU